UAGGGAAUCUUCGGCAAUGGACGGAAGUCUGACCGAGCAACGCCGCGUGAGUGAAGAAGGUUUUCAGAUCGUAAAGCUCUGUUGUAAGAGAAGAACGAGUGUGAGAGUGGAAAGUUCACACUGUGACGGUAUCUUACCAGAAAGGGACGGCUAACUACGUGCCAGCAGCCGCGGUAAUACGUAGGUCCCGAGCGUUGUCCGGAUUUAUUGGGCGUAAAGCGAGCGCAGGCGGUUAGAUAAGUCUGAAGUUAAAGGCUGUGGCUUAACCAUAGUACGCUUUGGAAACUGUUUAAUUUGAGUGCAAGAGGGGAGAGUGGAAUUCCAUGUGUAGCGGUGAAAUGCGUAGAUAUAUGGAGGAACACCGGUGGCGAAAGCGGCCCUCUGGCUUGUAACUGACGCUGAGGCUCGAAAGCGUGGGGAGCAAACAGGAUUAGAUACCCUGGUAGUCCACGCCGUAAACGAUGAGUGCUAGGUGUUAGACCCUUUCCGGGGUUUAGUGCCGCAGCUAACGCAUUAAGCACUCCGCCUGGGGAGUACGACCGCAAGGUUG
rnacentral:rRNA from 1 species